GCUUUCUCUCUCCUCCUCCGUUGUUGUUGUUGUUGUUGUCAUCUUCUUCUUGUUCUUCUCUCACCAUUUUCUCUCUGUCUCUUUCUCUCUCUUCUGGUG
rnacentral:sRNA from 1 species